GCCCACAUAGCUCAGUUGGUAGAGCACUUCCUUGGUAAGGAAGAGGUCACCGGUUCAAUUCCGGUUGUGGGCUCCA
rnacentral:tRNA from 1 species